GAUGAACGCUGGCGGCGUGCCUAAUACAUGCAAGUCGAGCGAACGGACGAGAAGCUUGCUUCUCUGAUGUUAGCGGCGGACGGGCGAGUAACACGUGGAUAACCUACCUAUAAGACUGGGAUAACUUCGGGAAACCGGAGCUAAUACCGGAUAAUAUUUUGAACCGCAUGGUUCAAAAGUGAAAGACGGUCUUGCUGUCACUUAUAGAUGGAUCCGCGCUGCAUUAGCUAGUUGGUAAGGUAACGGCUUACCAAGGCAACGAUGCAUAGCCGACCUGAGAGGGUGAUCGGCCACACUGGAACUGAGACACGGUCCAGACUCCUACGGGAGGCAGCAGUAGGGAAUAUUCCGCAAUGGGCGCAAGCCUGACGGAGCAACGCCGCGUGAGUGAUGAAGGUCUUCGGAUCGUAAAACUCUGUUAUUAGGGAAGAACAUAUGUGUAAGUAACUGUGCACAUCUUGACGGUACCUAAUCAGAAAGCCACGGCUAACUUCGUG
rnacentral:rRNA from 1 species